UGUGUGUUCUCCCAACUUCUCUCCUUUCAAUUUCCCUCCAUUCAUUAGAGGGAGCCAAAAUGACCCCGUGGCUGAACUUGGUAUUCUUUCUUGCAUCCCUUGGAGGUGUCCGAUCUGAGGUUCAAUUGGUGGAGUCUGGAGGGGAUGUGAGAAGACCUGGAGAAUCCCUCCAUCUCAUCUGCCAAGCCUCUGGAUUCACCUUCAGCAGCUCUUACAUGAUCUGGGUGAGACAGGCUCCAGGGAAAGGACUUGAAUGGGUGGCCUACAUAAGUCUAUCCUCAUCUUACAUUUACUACUCAGACAAAGUGAAGGGACGCUUCACCGUCUCAAGGGACAAUGCCAAAAGUCAGCUGUAUCUACAAAUGAACAAUCUGAAAGAAGAGGACACAGCUGUCUAUUACUGUGCAAAAUACACCAGAUGUGGAUCCCAUGACAUUCUAGCUACUGUUGAAUUGCUGUUACCUAGCUUUUAUUAUUGUGAAAAAAACAAGCUUUCUUCAAUGGAAGUCCCUCCAGAAGUGUUGAUUUCAGUGCCCACAUAUCCAUACCAACCCAAUGGCAUUCUAGUAGUUAUUGGAUUAUGA